CGUCACGGGGAAGGCAGAGCACAAGUAGUCAUAAGAUACCCUUGGCACAUGCGCAGAUUAUUUGUUUACCACUUAGAACACAGCUGUCAGCGCUAUCUUGUAACGGCGAAUGUGGGCGCGGCUCCCAACAUUUUAAUAAGAGCAAUAUUAAUGAGAGUGAAGGUAGAGGUCUGAUCCCCAGUGUGGCUCCCGUGUCGUUUUUCCUGGGGGAAGGGAACUAGGACACUGAACCUUCA
rnacentral:lncRNA from 1 species